ensembl:ncRNA lncRNA:CR45437 long non-coding RNA:CR45437
AUCCGUUUAAAUAAAUGUGCCCGCGGAAGAGAUGACUUAAGUGAGGCCUUGCUGUGAAAUUCGCAAAUGGAAAUAAAACUGGCCAGCAGAAGUAGAAGUCCCGGACGCAAAAAUCCACUCCAGACAAAAAGAAUUUUAUUGGCCUUCACUUAACGCUCAUAAAUUUGUCUGCCGCAAAAUCUGCGAGACAAGACCAGAACAGAAGACCAGAAGACCAGAAAAAGCAAGAGAACAGAAAUUAAAAGAAUAUUGUUUAUAGUGCUUCCGCAGAGGUCUAGAUGUCUGGAACUGGUUCGGAAACACACAGUUUGCCAUUCUGGAGGCGAGAGACGUUUUGUAAGAGCUAACCAACCAACCCCCCUCCACCGUUUGCCAUUAAAAUAUUGUUGCACAACUCCGAUGCACCGGAUCCCUCCCAUUUCUUGUUGCGGAAAGUGCUCGCGGGUGAGUGCCGAACUUCACGCACAAAUCUGAUUAAAACUCGGUCCCAGUUAAUGAACCAAGACCCCGACGACGAUCCCCUCCGCAGCUCGCAAUGGAAGUGUGCAUCUGGAUGGACUGCAGCACGUAAGAUGGCCAGCCAGCCAGACGCACAGAUAGUGCACCGUCUAUAAAUAGCCAUCAGCCAACAGCCAACGAGCCACAUGUUGGUCAAGUUUUUCACUCUCGAGAAGAAGACGUCUAAAGUGGUUUCAAAAUUCGGUUAACUACCAAUUUU